rnacentral:piRNA from 1 species
UGAGAAGCCCUUCAGAUUGUGUGAUAC